CCUACGGGAGGCAGCAGUGAGGAAUAUUGGUCAAUGGACGAGAGUCUGAACCAGUCAAGUAGCGUGAAGGAUGACUGCCCUAUGGGUUGUAAACUUCUUUUAUAAAGGAAUAAAACGAGGCACGUGUGCCUUUUUGCAUGUACUUUAUGAAUAAGGAUCGGCUAACUCCGUGCCAGCAGCCGCGGUAAUACGGAGGAUCCGAGCGUUAUCCGGAUUUAUUGGGUUUAAAGGGAGCGUAGAUGGGUUGUUAAGUUAGUUGUGAAAGUUUGCGGCUCAACCGUAAAAUUGCAUGUGAUACUGGCAGUCUUGAGUACAGUUGAGGUAGGCGGAAUUCGUGGUGUAGCGGUGAAAUGCUUAGAUAUCACGAAGAACCCCGAUUGCGAAGGCAGCUUACUAAACUGUGACUGACAUUGAUGCUCGAAAGUGUGGGUAGCAAACAGGAUUAGAUACCCGAGUAGUC
rnacentral:rRNA from 1 species